rnacentral:rRNA from 1 species
CAGCACCUCAAGUGGUCAGGAUGAUUAUUGGGCCUAAAGCAUCCGUAGCCGGCGCUGUAAGUUUUCGGUUAAAUCUGUACGCUCAACGUACAGGCUGCCGGGAAUACUGCAGCGCUAGGGAGUGGGAGAGGUAGACGGUACUCGGUAGGAAGGGGUAAAAUCCUUUGAUCUAUUGAUGACCACCUGUGGCGAAGGCGGUCUACCAGAACACGUCCGACGGUGAGGGAUGAAAGCUAGGGGAGCAAACCGGAUUAGAUACCCGAGUAGUCC